rnacentral:rRNA from 1 species
AGCUAUAUGAAUUAAUAUAUAGUUAUUUCUGCUCCAUGAUUAUUAAAUAGCCGCAGUACUCUGACUGUGCAAAGGUAGCAUAAUCAAUUGGCUUUUAAUUAGAGUCUGGAAUGAAUGAAAAUAUGGGUGGAGACUAUCUAAGUGUAUUUAUUUGAACUUAAUAAGUAAGUGAAAAUGCUUAUAUAACUACAAAAGACGAGAAGACCCUAGAAACUUGAAAUGCUUUUUGUUGGGGCGACAGAACUACAAUUAACUAGUUUUAAAAGACGGGACGUAAAAAUGGAAGAAUAAGUUACUCUAGGGAUAACAGCAUAAUUUUAAUAGUUUGUGACCUCGAUGUUGGACUAGGUAUUAUAUUCUUUAGGAAAGAAUAUAAAAUGCUCUGUUCGAGCAAAUAUACCUACAU